rnacentral:rRNA from 1 species
UGGGGAAUAUUGCACAAUGGGCGCAAGCCUGAUGCAGCCAUGCCGCGUGUGUGAAGAAGGCCUUCGGGUUGUAAAGCACUUUCAGCGAGGAGGAAGGUGGUGGACUUAAUACGUUCAUCAAUUGACGUUACUCGCAGAAGAAGCACCGGCUAACUCCGUGCCAGCAGCCGCGGUAAUACGGAGGGUGCAAGCGUUAAUCGGAAUUACUGGGCGUAAAGCGCACGCAGGCGGUUUGUUAAGUCGAAUGUGAAAUCCCCGGGCUCAACCUGGGAACUGCAUUUGAAACUGGCAAGCUAGAGUCUCGUAGAGGGGGGUAGAAUUCCAGGUGUAGCGGUGAAAUGCGUAGAGAUCUGGAGGAAUACCGGUGGCGAAGGCGGCCCCCUGGACGAAGACUGACGCUCAGGUGCGAAAGCGUGGGGAGCAAACAGGAUUA